UCGGUAGCGAACGCUGCUUGAGGCCGAC
rnacentral:sRNA from 1 species